UCAAGAGCUUUUGGAACAGGACCCUGGGCGAGCGACUGGCUUCUCUCAUGCUCUCCCUUGACCCAGGGGAGCCCUUUACGGGGUGUCAUUUCCCCACAAGGCAGCCAGUUUUGUGCCAAGAAGACUGGGGAGAGAGGGGCAUUCAGGUCACUAAACUGGAGAAGAGCUGGAGGAGCUGAGCCCCUGGCAGCUGCCCAGAUGUUUAGCCUCUGGGAGCUGGACUCUGCAGAGGAGACUCCAGCUGCUGUGCCCGCUUCUUCACACAGAGGUUGAAGGAAAGACUGGCACCCUAAGAAAUCAAGAAGGGAGGCAGAGGAAAGUCUGGGGGCUCUGUUCUCUCACUCAUCAAGGAAUGAGCCCUGCUUCGUUGCAUCCCAUGCCUCUGACCUCUGCCUCUGUGGGUGCAGCCUGAGGACCAAGGCAGUGCUGCACCCCCGGCCCCUUCCAGUCUCCCGUCCUGCCUCUCAGAUGCUCCCCAACUUGCCAUCAGGGAAGAAGCAACCGUCUACUCCAUCGAUUGUCUUCAGGGCUCAAUCCUCCCAGAAUUCUCCAGAGCCCAAGGCCAAGGCCAUGUCCCAGAUGCUACCUCAGGGCAAGUCAAGAGCUUCCUGCAAUGCCAUGCCACUACGCAAGCUGGUGCCCAUGAGUGUGUGGCCUCAGGGGUUUCUUUACCCACUUUCCAAGCCCUUGCCAGAGAAAUCCCUGCACUCCUAUAUCCCAAGGGGAGGGAGCCGUUUCCCCAGGCAGGGAGCCAUGUCCCCAAUGACACCACUUGGGGAAAGUGAUAAACGCCAGUCCUUUCUACCAUUCAUGUUUAAAUAAAAAUGUAUCUGGUCAA